rnacentral:rRNA from 1 species
UGCAGUCGAGCGGCAGCGGAAAGUAGCUUGCUACUUUGCCGGCGAGCGGCGGACGGGUGAGUAAUGUCUGGGGAUCUGCCCGAUGGAGGGGGAUAACUACUGGAAACGGUAGCUAAUACCGCAUAACGUCGCAAGACCAAAGUGGGGGACCUUCGGGCCUCACACCAUCGGAUGAACCCAGAUGGGAUUAGCUAGUAGGUGGGGUAACGGCUCACCUAGGCGACGAUCCCUAGCUGGUCUGAGAGGAUGACCAGCCACACUGGAACUGAGACACGGUCCAGACUCCUACGGGAGGCAGCAGUGGGGAAUAUUGCACAAUGGGCGCAAGCCUGAUGCAGCCAUGCCGCGUGUGUGAAGAAGGCCUUCGGGUUGUAAAGCACUUUCAGCGGGGAGGAAGGGGUUAGCGUUAAUAGCGCUUAUCAUUGACGUUACCCGCAGAAGAAGCACCGGCUAACUCCGUGCCAGCAGCCGCGGUAAUACGGAGGGUGCGAGCGUUAAUCGGAAUUACUGGGCGUAAAGCGUACGCAGGCGGUUUGUUAAGUCAGAUGUGAAAUCCCCGAGCUUAACUCGGGAACUGCAUUUGAAACUGGCAGGCUAGAGUCUCGUAGAGGGGGGUAGAAUUCCAGGUGUAGCGGUGAAAUGCGUAGAGAUCUGGAGGAAUACCGGUGGCGAAGGCGGCCCCCUGGACGAAGACUGACGCUCAGGUACGAAAGCGUGGGGAGCAAACAGGAUUAGAUACCCUGGUAGUCCACGCUGUAAACGAUGUCGAUUUGAAGGUUGUGGCCUUGAGCCGUGGCUUUCGGAGCUAACGCGUUAAAUCGACCGCCUGGGGAGUACGGCCGCAAGGUUAAAACUCAAAUGAAUUGACGGGGGCCCGCACAAGCGGUGGAGCAUGUGGUUUAAUUCGAUGCAACGCGAAGAACCUUACCUA